ensembl:lncRNA
CAAGAUCAUGGCUGUAGGAGGGGUAGGCCCAUUAUGAAGUCAUAUUGUGAAAUCAAGCGUAAUAGUUUCUCAGAGGAAUUUCAGGCUAAUAUUUAGGCAAGAUAUCCUUUUGGUUCUGUAGUUGUUUUGACAUGUUAUGGAUGAUAUUGUGUGGAGGAUAUCAUAUUCAAAAAAGGUGCCCUAGAAGUUCUUGGGCUAUGUCCUAUCCUCUGAAUAAACUCUGGAGACUUGCUGGGGUAUCCGUGUAGCAGAGAUACAGAUGUAUGUGUGUGUGUAGUUCCCCAGAAAGUGAAAGCUGGUUGUUUUGACAAACCAGCCUCAUUCUUCAUACCAUGCACGUUUAGGAGCAGCUGCUGUAAAAUUACUGGGACCCAGAAGAAAUCAAAGUGCAUUCAACUUGCAUAAUUUGUCCUGAGGCUCAAGGAAAGGAAUCCUGGAACCCUGAGGAAGAGAGCUAUAUGGAGGCUCCAAAUUGACUGACCUUAACAUGAAGCCUGUUUAAUUCAGACAGCUCAGCUUCCCCAAAU